rnacentral:rRNA from 1 species
GAUGAAUGCUGGCGGCGUGCCUAACACAUGCAAGUCGAGCGGCAGCGCGGUCUUCGGACUGGCGGCGAGCGGCGGACGGCUGAGUAACGCGUGGGAACGUACCCCAAAGUGAGGAAUAACUGCCCGAAAGGGUAGCUAAUGCCGCAUAUGGUAUUCGGAUUAAAGGAUUUAUCCGCUUUGGGAACGGCCUGCGUACGAUUAGAUUGUUGGUGAGGUAAUGGCUCACCAAGUCGACGAUCGUUAACUGGUCUGAGAGGAUGAUCAGUCAGACUGGAACUGAGACACGGUCCAGACUCCUACGGGAGGCAGCAGUGAGGAAUCUUCCACAAUGGGCGAAAGCCUGAUGGAGCAACGCCGCGUGCAGGAUGAAGGCCUUCGGGUCGUAAACUGCUUUUAUAAGUGAAGAAUAUGACGGUAACUUAUGAAUAAGCACCGGCUAACUACGUGCCAGCAGCCGCAGUAACA